UGAUCUAGUGCUUAUGCAUUCCUUAUGCCGUCUCUCUGUCUGCCACAGGUCUUGCUUGAGUGACAUCACUUCCCUUUCCUUCGCCUGAAUACAUCUUUGAAGGUUUUGCCUAUGUGUGUUCUGUACACAGACAGCUAACAUGAUUACCAUCAUUAGUUUUAUAUCCACAUUAGCAGGUUUAACAGUAGCUGCUGAAGUGGUCCAGACACCACGGGAUCUGAUUGUGAAUCAACAAUCCGCUUUGUUCCAGUGUUCCCACAAAACACAGUCUCAUGAUGUCAUUCUAUGGUCCAGUAUGAGCACAGCUCUCGUAAUACUCCUCUUCUCAUCACUGUGGAAUGCAGGCUCUGCUGCAGAGAAUGAUGUCACACAGACACCUGGAAUAUUGUGGAAACACCAUGGAGAUUCUGCAGAGAUGAAAUGUAGUCACACUAAGGGUGCUGGUUACACUCAAAUGUACUGGUACCGACAGCGGCAGGGGGAGACUAUGAGCCUGGUAGUGUUCACUACUUCAUACGGCACAGAAGAGUUCGGAGACAUCGACAAGACUAAAUAUUCCACUGUUAAAACUGUGCCUGAGAGGGGAUCGUUAACAGUCACUUCAGUGAAGUCUGAUGACAGUGGCAUUUACUUCUGUUCAGUGAGUGAACACAGUGUAGCAGAUUCUACACAGAGCUGAACAAAAACUUCCUGA